GUUCCACUGACCGAGCCAGCCAGUUCUGGAAGCUUGAAAGUCCAAGAUCAUCAUGCUGGCAUAUUCAGUAUCUGCCACCCAAUUACAUUUCCUGGAGAUAAGAAUGCCACCAGUUCCUUGGGUAUCCUUCCAAAGAGAUUCUGUGCUGCAUAUAUAAACAUAUACAUCUACAGAUAUAAAUAUGCUAUAUGUUGGGGAGCCUCUAAUGAGCUAUGUAGAGUUUCCUGAUUUCCUGUGUGGUGUUGGCUCCCUCGUACUUCCAGACAGCACAUGCAUCAGAAUGUCUGAGUGGUUUCCACAGGUGUACCAGGCAGUAGCAGCAGAGAAGCCAUUGGGUAGAAAGUGGUGGUGGUGGUGGCGGGGGGGUGGUACGGAUGAGAAGAGGUGCGCGAAGCUACGCUUGCGUUGAGGUGGGUCUUGAGUGACAGCUUGCAGUAAAAAGUUGAGCCAAGAGGGCAUGAGAAAAGGCACAAGAGACAUCCAAUACACAAGACAUUCUGGUGGGAUACACAGCCAGCCCAUCAAAGUAGACAGGUCAGGAAACAGGUGUUGAUACUGAGAUUAUAGCACAGACUCAAAUUUUAAUACAAUCUAAUUCUAUAAAGAGACUCAUCUUGAGAUUUUUCACUCCAUGGAUUGGCUUUUCCUACUAGGCUUUUUAUUUUGUAUUUUUAUGUUUUGGGUAAAAUGUACAUAACAUAACAUUUCCCAUUUUAAUCAUUUAUAAGUGCACAAUUCAGCAACAUUAAGUACAUUCACAUUGUUGUGCAACCAAAGAGGCUUUUGUAGAAGAAAUGCAUGGUAGAAACUUUCAAAUAUUUGCUCACAUUGCCAGUUGCUAUUUUAUGCCUAUUUUUUCACUUCAGCCCUUGCUAUAUCCAAAAGUGUAUGACUUUGAAGUCUUUCUGUGAAUUCACCUUCUGCAGAUCCCAUGCCAUGGAGAUCAUUAAAAGAACAGUGUUAUGUCUGGAGUUC